UACGGAGGGGGCUAGCGUUGUUCGGAAUUACUGGGCGUAAAGCGCACGUAGGCGGCUUUGUAAGUCAGAGGUGAAAUCCCAGUGCUCAACACUGGAACUGCCUUUGAGACUGCAUCGCUUGAAUCCAGGAGAGGUGAGUGGAAUUCCGAGUGUAGAGGUGAAAUUCGUAGAUAUUCGGAAGAACACCAGUGGCGAAGGCGGCUCACUGGACUGUAUGACGCUGAGGUGCGAAGCGUGGGAGCAACAGG
rnacentral:rRNA from 1 species